AGGGCACCACCAGGAGUGGAGCCUGCGGCUUAAUUUGACUCAACACGGGGAAACUCACCCGGCCCGGACACCGGAAGGAUUGACAGAUUGAUAGCUCUUUCUUGAUUCGGUGGAUGGUGGUGCAUGGCCGUUCUUAGUUGGUGGAGCGAUCUGUCUGGUUAAUUCCGAUAACGAACGAGACUCUAGCCUAUUAAAUAGACGUCGGGUUCUCUGCACUCGACGGUCUUCUUAGAGGGACAAGGUGCUUUUAGCACCGCGAAACAGAGCAAUAACAGGUCUGUGAUGCCCUUAGAUGUCCGGGGCCGCACGCGCGCUACACUGAAGGAAGCAGCGCGUAACAACCUUGUUCUAACGAACUGGGUAACCCGUGGAACUUCCUUCAUGAUUGGGAUAGGGGUUUGCAAUUGUGCCCCUUGAACGAGGAAUUCCCAGUAAACACUAGUCAUCAGCUAGUGCUGAUUACGUCCCUGCCCUUUGUACACACCGCCCGUCGCUACUACCGAUUGAAUGGUUUAGUGA
rnacentral:rRNA from 1 species